rnacentral:rRNA from 1 species
CGCGUAGGCGGUCAGCACAAGUCAGUUGUGAAAUCUCCGAGCUUAACUCGGAAAGGUCAACUGAUACUGUGCGACUAGAGUGCAGAAGGGGCAACUGGAAUUCUUGGUGUAGCGGUGAAAUGCGUAGAUAUCAAGAGGAACACCUGCGGCGAAGGCGGGUUGCUGGGCUGACACUGAGCUGAGCGCGAAAGCCAGGGGAGCGAACG